rnacentral:rRNA from 1 species
ACGGGGCGCAGCAGGCGCGAAAACUGUGCAAUGCGCGAAAGCGCGACACGGGGAGCUUGAGUGUCUUGGCAUAGCCAAGACUUUUCUUAUACCUAAAAAGUAUAAGGAAUAAGUGCUGGGUAAGACGGGUGCCAGCCGCCGCGGUAACACCCGCAGCACAAGUGGUGGUCACUUUUAUUGAGCCCAAAGCGUUCGUAGCCGGUUUUGUAAAUCUUCAGGUAAAUCCUGAAGCCUAACUUCAGAAAGCCUGAAGAGACUGCAAAACUUGAGAUCGGGUGAGGUUAAACGUACUUUCAGGGUAGGGGUAAAAUCCUGUAAUCCUGGAAGGACGACCGGUGGCGAAGGCGUUUAACUAGAACGAAUCUGACGGUGAGGAACGAAGGCUAGGGUAGCAAACCGGAUUAGAUACCCGGGUAGUCCUAGCUGUAAACACUGCCCACUUGAUGUUGCUUUUCCGUUGAGGGAAGGCAGUGUCGGAGCGAAGGUGUUAAGUGGGCCGCUUGGGAAGUAUGGUCGCAAGACUGAAACUUAAAGGAAUUGGCGGGGGAGCACCGCAACGGGAGGAAUGUGCGGUUUAAUUGGAUUCAACGCCGGAAAACUCACCGGGAACGACCUGUGGAUGAGAGUCAACCUGACGAGUUUACUCGAUAGCAGGAGAGGUGGUGCAUGGCCGUCGUCAGCUCGUACCGUAGGGCGUUCACUUAAGUGUGAUAACGAGCGAGACCCACAUCUCUAAUUGCUAAUGUAUAUGCGAAUAUACAUGCACUUUAGAGAGACCGCCAUCGCUAAGAUGGAGGAAGGAGCGGUCGACGGCAGGUCAGUACGCCCCGAAUUUCCCGGGCUACACGCGCAUUACAAAGAACGGGACAAUGCGUUGCAUCCUCGAAAGGGGAAGCUAAUCGCGAAACCCGUCCAUAGUUAGGAUUGAGGGCUGUAACUCGCCCUCCAUGAAUCUGGAUGCCGUAGUAAUCGCGGGUCAACAACCCGCGGUGAACAUGCCCGUGCUCCUUGCUCACACCGCCCGUCAAACCAUCCGAGUUGGUGUUGGAUGAGGCUUAAUUCGAGAGGGUUAAGUCAAAUCUGAUGUAGGUGAGGAGGGUUAAGUCGUAACAAGGAAGCCG